UACGUAGGGUGCAAGCGUUAAUCGGAAUUACUGGGCGUAAAGGGUGCGCAGGCGGCUGUUUACGUUUGCCGUGAAAUCUCCUGGCUUACCUGGGAGGGUGCGGUGAAAACGGGACGGCUUGAGGCUCGGGGAGGGGCGUGGAAUUCCGGGUGGAGCGGUGAAAUGCGUAGAGAUCCGGAGGAACACCGACGGCGUAAGCAGCGCCCUAAACGAGUUCUGACGCUCAGGCACGAAAGCUGGGGGAGCAAACAGG
rnacentral:rRNA from 1 species